rnacentral:rRNA from 1 species
UAGGGAAUCUUCGCCAAUGGAUGAAAGUCUGACCGAGCAACGCCGCGUGAGUGAAGAAGGUUUUCGGAUCGUAAAACUCUGUUGUUAGAGAAGAACAAGGACGUUAGUAACUGAACGUCCCCUGACGGUAUCUAACCAGAAAGCCACGGCUAACUACGUGCCAGCAGCCGCGGUAAUACGUAGGUGGCAAGCGUUGUCCGGAUUUAUUGGGCGUAAAGCGAGCGCAGGCGGUUUCUUAAGUCUGAUGUGAAAGCCCCCGGCUCAACCGGGGAGGGUCAUUGGAAACUGGGAGACUUGAGUGCAGAAGAGGAGAGUGGAAUUCCAUGUGUAGCGGUGAAAUGCGUAGAUAUAUGGAGGAACACCAGUGGCGAAGGCGGCUCUCUGGUCUGUAACUGACGCUGAGGCUCGAAAGCGUGGGGAGCAAACAGG